CUUUCUUUGCUGGCGACCGGCGCACGGGUGAGUAACACGUAUCCAACCUGCCCUUUACUCGGGGAUAGCCUUUCGAAAGAAAGAUUAAUACCCGAUAGUAUAAUGAUUCCGCAUGGUUUCAUUAUUAAAGGAUUCCGGUAAAGGAUGGGGAUGCGUUCCAUUAGGUUGUUGGUGAGGUAACGGCUCACCAAGCCUUCGAUGGAUAGGGGUUCUGAGAGGAAGGUCCCCCACAUUGGAAUUGAGACACGGUCCAA
rnacentral:rRNA from 1 species